rnacentral:rRNA from 1 species
GAUCCUGGCUUAGAACGAACGCUGGUGGCGUGUCUAUACAUGCAAGUCGAGCGAGGCAGCAAUGCCGAGCGGCGAACGGGUGAGUAACGCGUAAGCAAUCUGCCCCAUAUCAGGAAAUACCCGUGCCAACGCGCGGUUAAUGUCCAGGAGAGUGGCUCCUUGCAUGAGGAGUUGACUAGAGAUUUAUCGGUAUGGGAUGAGCUUGCGUCCGAUUAGCUAGUUGGCGGGGCAACGGCCCACCAAGGCGACGAUCGGUAGCCGGCCUGAGAGGGUGAUCGGCCACAUUGGGACUGAGAUACGGCCCAGACUCCUACGGGAGGCAGCAGUAGGGAAUAUUGCACAAUGGGGGAAACCCUGAUGCAGCAACGCCACGUGUGGGAAGAAGCAUUUCGGUGUGUAAACCACUGUCAUGAGGGAAUAAGGCCCGCCUUCGGACGGGAUUGAAUGUACCUUGAGAGGAAGCACCGGCAAACUUCGUGCCAGCCGCCGC